UACGUAGGGUGCGAGCGUUGUCCGGAAUUAUUGGGCGUAAAGAGCUCGUAGGCGGUGUGUCGCGUCGGCCGUGAAAACCUGGGGCUCAACUCUGGGCGUGCGGUCGAUACGGGCAUCACUUGAGUUCGGCAGGGGAGACUGGAAUUCCUGGUGUAGCGGUGAAAUGCGCAGAUAUCAGGAGGAACACCGAUGGCGAAGGCAGGUCUCUGGGCCACUACUGACGCUGAGAAGCGAAAGCAUGGGGAGCGAACAGG
rnacentral:rRNA from 1 species